GUGCUUGCUUCGACAGCACAUAUACUAAAAUUGGAAUGAUACAGAGAAGAUUAGCAUCGCCCUGCAUGCAACCACAUCGAUGCUUCAUGGGUUUACGUUUUGUUU